UUGCCCAAUAUUCCAGAGAUGGUAAAAUCCAGGAAGGCUGACUGUCUCUAAAGCGGGUACUCCCCUCCUGUGUAGUCUUUGAAAACAUCCACUGACAAGGCGUUGAUAUGUGGAAGUCGUUGCCUCAGGUCGAAUGUUCUUGCAUUAGCUGUGAGCACACACUUCAAUGGAAAGCUCUGCCGUCCCUGCCAGCCCCUCUGGCCCACAGAUGUCUCAGGACACAGCCCCACCCUUGCUGAGGCACAGCCAUGGGAUCUACAAAGGAUCGACACACCAGACUUGUUACCAAACUCAUGGUGGACGUCAACAGAAGGCCUAUCAAAUAUCUAAUUUUUGGCGUGACUGCUGACUCCGACAGAGGAAUGACA
rnacentral:lncRNA from 1 species